GCAUCGGCAGGCGGACUGACUCUCAGCCACUGCGCCACCAGGCAAGCCCCGGAGAGGUUUUUAACAAGCUGUUGCCUUAUCUGCUGUUGUGUAAGACAAGCUCAAGAAAUUCUGUUAGUCAUCGGUUUCUGUUAACCCUGUGGGGCACGUCUCAAGGUCACUGUGGCACUGUUUUGCUGCAAGAGGCUAGUGGAAGAGGCCACACCAGAAGUCUCUGGAGUUGCUUUCCUGUCUAUUAAUCAUCUCUUGAUAGAAACGGCCUUUGAAGCCCAGAGCUACGUGUGCAUUCCUGUUUGGAACUGGCAGAAGCAUCUCUGAGUGCUUAACUGAAGAUUGCGAAAAGGUAUUGCAGCCACAGUGACAUGGCUGCCCUGGUGGUGCAGUGGUUGAGAGUCCGCCUGCC